rnacentral:rRNA from 1 species
CCUACGGGCGUCAGCAGUGAGGAAUAUUGGUCAAUGGCCGUAAGGCUGAACCAGCCAAGUCGCGUGAGUGAAGAAGGAUCUAUGUUUUGUAAACUUCUUUUGUAGGGGAGUAAAUGUAUCCACGUGUGGAUAUUUGCAUGUACUUUAUGAAUCAGGAUGGGCUAACUCCGUGCCAGCAGCCGCGGUAAUACGGAGUAUGCGAGCGUUAGCCGAAUUUAGUGGGUUGAAAGGGAGCGUAGAUGGGUCUUGAGGUCAGUUGUGAAAGUUGGCGGCACAACCGUAAAAUUGCAAUUGAAACUGGCAGUCUUGAGUACAGUUGAGGUAAGCGGAAUUCGUGGUGUAGCGGUGAAAUGCUUAGAUAUCACGAAGAACACCGAUUGCGAAGGCAGCUCACUGGACUGCAACUGACAUUGAUGCUCGAAAGUGUGGGUAUCAAACAGGAUUAGAUACCCGUGUAGUC